rnacentral:rRNA from 1 species
GACGAACGCUGGCGGCGUGCAUAACACAUGCAAGUCAAGGGGGUCAGUAGCAAUACUGGCAACCGGCGAACGGGUGCGUAACACGUAAGCGACCUACCUCGGUGUGGGGCAUAGCCGGUCUAACGGCCGGGUAAUUCCGCAUACGCUCUUGAGAGUGCAUACUCUUGGGAUGAAACCAGUAAUGGGCACUGAGAGGGGCUUGCGGCCUAUCAGCUAGUUGGUGAGGUAACGGCUCACCAAGGCUACGACGGGUAGCUGGUCUGAGAGGAUGGCCAGC